rnacentral:lncRNA from 1 species
CUCACUGUGUUCAAGGCCCUUUCUGACAACUUGAUGCUUGGGGAGCCACCAAUCCUCAGUUCCAUAGGAAGACACAGCAAAGGGCUUGGAGUGAAGGAGCUGGAGACUGGACAGUAGGAAGCCGACACGCUGGAAGAAGGUAUCUUAACAGAUUCUCUUCCCAGACUGGUUUAAUUGACAGAGGAGAAGGAGGAAGUGGGACGAGACAGAGAGCACAGCGUGCCUACAACCAGUGGACCCUGGAUGAAGCAAAGACAGGAAUCCAGCUCAGCUCUUCUUGCAACAUCUCUACAAAGUCGCGCUUUUCUAAAUAUGAUUUUAAAAUUAAAAUUCUAAAGAAUGCAUUGAGUCAAUG